rnacentral:rRNA from 1 species
GGAUUAGAUACCCUGGUAGUCCAUGCCGUAAACGUUGGGCGCUAGAUGUAGGGACCAUUCCACGGUUUCUGUGUCGCAGCUAACGCAUUAAGCGCCCCGCCUGGGGAGUACGGCCGCAAGGCUAAAACUCAAAGGAAUUGACGGGGGCCCGCACAAGCGGCGGAGCAUGCGGAUUAAUUCGAUGCAACGCGAAGAACCUUACCAAGGCUUGACAUAUACCGGAAAAGUGCAGAAAUGUACUCCCCGCAAGGUCGGUAUACAGGUGGUGCAUGGUUGUCGUCAGCUCGUGUCGUGAGAUGUUGGGUUAAGUCCCGCAACGAGCGCAACCCUCGUUCUUUGUUGCCAGCACGUAAUGGUGGGAACUCAAAGG